rnacentral:rRNA from 1 species
GGAGGAGGCAAGCGUUAUCCGGAAUUAUUGGGCGUAAAGCGUCCGCAGGUGGCCUCUCAAGUCUGCGGUUAAAGAUCGGGGCUUAACCCCGGAGGAGCCGUGGAAACUGAGAAGCUAGAGUGCGGUAGGGGUAGAGGGAAUUCCCAGUGUAGCGGUGAAAUGCGUAGAGAUUGGGAAGAACACCGGUGGCGAAAGCGCUCUACUGGACCGCAACUGACACUCAGGGACGAAAGCUAGGGGAGCGAAAGGGAUUAGAUACCCCUGUAGUCCUAGCCGUAAACGAUGGAUACUAGGCGUGGCUUGUAUUGACUCAAGCCGUGCCGAAGCUAACGCGUUAAGUAUCCCGCCUGGGGAGUACGCACGCAAGUGUG